UAAACGAUAGAGAAAGCUUGCUUUUUCUAGGCGUCGACCGGCGCACGGGUGAGUAACGCGUAUCCAACCUGUCCACCACUUGGGGAUAACCUUGCGAAAGUAAGACUAAUACCCAAUGAUAUCUCUAGAAGACAUCUGAAGGAGAUUAAAGAUUUAUCGGUGAUGGAUGGGGAUGCGUCUGAUUAGCUUGUUGGCGGGGUAACGGCCCACCAAGGCGACGAUCAGUAGGGGUUCUGAGAGGAAGGUCCCCCACAUUGGAACUGAGACACGGUCCAAACUCCUACGGGAGGCAGCAGUGAGGAAUAUUGGUCAAUGGGCGAGAGCCUGAACCAGCCAAGUAGCGUGCAGGAUGACGGCCCUAUGGGCUGUAAACUGCUUUUAUAAGGGAAUAAAGUGAGCCUCGUGAGGCUUUUUGCAUGUACCUUAUGAAUAAGGACCGGCUAAUUCCGCGCCAGCAGCCGCGGUAAUACGGAAGGUCCGGGCGUUAUCCGGAUUUAUUGGGUUUAAAGGGAGCGU
rnacentral:rRNA from 1 species